GCGCCUGUAGCUCAGUUGGAUAGAGCAACGGACUUCUAAUCCGUAGGUCGCAGGUUCGAAUCCUGCCAGGCGCGCCA
rnacentral:tRNA from 1 species